UAGAUUUAUAAGUUAUUUAAACUAGUAGCCUUCAAAGCUGAAUAAGCUUAUUGCUAAAUCUAU
rnacentral:tRNA from 1 species